rnacentral:lncRNA from 1 species
AUGCCCCUGACCCUCCCCGGUCUCCCUCGUCUCCCUCGUCGUCUCCCCCGCCUCCCGUCUCUUCCCAGGCUGCAUGGUGUGCCCAUGCCCCAUCUGCCCAUUCCUCCUGGCCUCUGCCAGGGGCCUCAGAGGCUGCUGCUGGACUGCACCUCUAUCCUGGACCAUCUCCCGGUCUCAGGUAGGUACCCUCUGACCUCUCACCUCCCACAGGACAAUCUCUCAGUCUCAGGUAGGUACCCUCUGACCUCUCACCUGCCUCAGGAAAAUCUCCCGGUCUCAGGUAGGUACCCUCUGACCUCUCACCUCCCACAGGACAAUCUCUCGGUCUCAGGUAGGUACCCUCUGACCCCUCACCUCCCACAGGACCAUCUCCCUGUUUCAGGUAGGUACCCUCUGACCCCUCACCUCCCACAGGACCUUCUCCCGGUCUCAGGUAGGUACCCUCUGACCCCUCACCUCUCACAGGACCAUCUCCCUGUUUCAGGUAGGUACCCUCUGACCUCUCACCUCCCACAGGACCAUCUCCCUGUUUCAGGUAGGUACCCUCUGACCCCUCACCUCCCACAGGACCAUCUCCCUGUUUCAGUUAGGUACCCUCUGACCUCUCACCUCCCACAGGACCAUCUCCCUAUUUCAGGUAGGUACCCUCUGACCCCUCACCUCUCACAUGACCAUCUCCCUGUUUCAGGUAGGUACCCUCUGACCCCUCACCUCCCACAGGACCAUCUCCCUGUUUCAGGUAGGUACCCUCUGACCCCUCACCUCCCACAGGACCAUCUCCCUGUUUCAGGUAGGUACCCUCUGACCCCUCACCUCCCACAGGACCAUCUCCCGGUCUCAGGUAGGUACCCUCUGACCCCUCACCUCCCACAGGACCAUCUCCCUGUUUCAGGUAGGUACCCUCUGACCCCUCACCUCCCACAGGACCAUCUCCCUGUUUCAGGUAGGUACCCUCUGACCCCUCACCUCUCACAGGACCAUCUCCCUGUUUCAGGUAGGUACCCUCUGACCCCUCACCUCCCACAUGGUACAGACAACAUCUAG